rnacentral:rRNA from 1 species
AUACGUAGGGGGCAAGCGUUAUCCGGAUUUACUGGGUGUAAAGGGAGCGUAGACGGCAAAGCAAGUCAGAAGUGAAAGCCCCGGGCUCAACCCGGGAAUUGCUUUGGAAACUGUUUAGCUGGAGUGCAGGAGAGGUAAGCGGAAUUCCUAGUGUAGCGGUGAAAUGCGUAGAUAUUAGGAGGAACACCAGUGGCGAAGGCGGCUUACUGGACUGUAACUGACGUUGAGGCUCGAAAGCGUGGGGAGCAAACAGGAUUAGAUACCCUGGUAGUCCACGCUGUAAACGAUGAUUACUAGGUGUUGGGGACCAAAGGUCCUCGGUGCCGCCGCAAACGCAUUAAGUAAUCCACCUGGGGAGUACGUUCGCAAGAAUGAAACUCAAAUGAAUUGGCGGGG